GGCCUCGUAGCUCAAUGGCAGAGCACCGGCUUGUCGCGCCGGGUGUCGUGGGUUCGAUUCCCACCGGGGUCG
rnacentral:tRNA from 1 species